rfam:TPA: Bos taurus chromosome 10, whole genome shotgun sequence.
CCUGGUGGCUCAGAUGGUAAAGCAUCUGCCUGCAAUGCAGGAGACCCAGGUUUGAUCCCUGGGUCAGGA